rnacentral:rRNA from 1 species
AAAAACUUCUCAAAAAGAAGUUGACUCCGAAGGAGGAAAGCGUAAUAUACGCCACCUCGCAACAGGAAGCUUCGGCACUGAUUGCACCGCUCUUUAACAAUUUAUCAGACAAUCUGUGUGGGCACUCGCAGGAUUGAUAUCAGUCACCUCCGGGUGACAAAAAAUAUCAAGUCUUAAGAGUGAACACAUAAUGAAAUUCAUUAUGACGUUUUACACUUGAGCAUCGCUGCACUUGUUGCAGCAAAUCGAACUUUUAAUUGAAGAGUUUGAUCAUGGCUCAGAUUGAACGCUGGCGGCAGGCCUAACACAUGCAAGUCGAACGGUAGCACAGAGGAGCUUGCUCCUUGGGUGACGAGUGGCGGACGGGUGAGUAAUGCCUGGGAAACUGCCCGAUGGAGGGGGAUAACUACUGGAAACGGUAGCUAAUACCGCAUAACGUCUUCGGACCAAAGUGGGGGACCUUCGGGCCUCACACCAUCGGAUGUGCCCAGGUGGGAUUAGCUAGUAGGUGGGGUAAUGGCUCACCUAGGCGACGAUCCCUAGCUGGUCUGAGAGGAUGACCAGCCACACUGGAACUGAGACACGGUCCAGACUCCUACGGGAGGCAGCAGUGGGGAAUAUUGCACAAUGGGCGCAAGCCUGAUGCAGCCAUGCCGCGUGUAUGAAGAAGGCCUUCGGGUUGUAAAGUACUUUCAGUGGGGAGGAAGGCGAUGAGGUUAAUAGCCUCGUCGAUUGACGUUACCCGCAGAAGAAGCACCGGCUAACUCCGUGCCAGCAGCCGCGGUAAUACGGAGGGUGCAAGCGUUAAUCGGAAUUACUGGGCGUAAAGCGCACGCAGGCGGUCUGUCAAGUCGGAUGUGAAAUCCCCGGGCUCAACCUGGGAACUGCAUUCGAAACUGGCAGACUAGAGUCUUGUAGAGGGGGGUAGAAUUCCAGGUGUAGCGGUGAAAUGCGUAGAGAUCUGGAGGAAUACCGGUGGCGAAGGCGGCCCCCUGGACAAAGACUGACGCUCAGGUGCGAAAGCGUGGGGAGCAAACAGGAUUAGAUACCCUGGUAGUCCACGCCGUAAACGAUGUCGACUUGGAGGUUGUGCCCUUGAGGCGUGGCUUCCGGAGCUAACGCGUUAAGUCGACCGCCUGGGGAGUACGGCCGCAAGGUUAAAACUCAAAUGAAUUGACGGGGGCCCGCACAAGCGGUGGAGCAUGUGGUUUAAUUCGAUGCAACGCGAAGAACCUUACCUGGCCUUGACAUCCACGGAAUUCGGCAGAGAUGCCUUAGUGCCUUCGGGAACCGUGAGACAGGUGCUGCAUGGCUGUCGUCAGCUCGUGUUGUGAAAUGUUGGGUUAAGUCCCGCAACGAGCGCAACCCUUAUCCUUUGUUGCCAGCGAGUAAUGUCGGGAACUCAAAGGAGACUGCCGGUGAUAAACCGGAGGAAGGUGGGGAUGACGUCAAGUCAUCAUGGCCCUUACGGCCAGGGCUACACACGUGCUACAAUGGCGCAUACAAAGAGAAGCGACCUCGCGAGAGCAAGCGGACCUCAUAAAGUGCGUCGUAGUCCGGAUCGGAGUCUGCAACUCGACUCCGUGAAGUCGGAAUCGCUAGUAAUCGUAGAUCAGAAUGCUACGGUGAAUACGUUCCCGGGCCUUGUACACACCGCCCGUCACACCAUGGGAGUGGGUUGCAAAAGAAGUAGGUAGCUUAACCUUCGGGAGGGCGCUUACCACUUUGUGAUUCAUGACUGGGGUGAAGUCGUAACAAGGUAACCGUAGGGGAACCUGCGGUUGGAUCACCUCCUUACC